rnacentral:lncRNA from 1 species
UAUCCUUUGUGCUUCACAGAGAAAAUUGGACUCCUCGGAUGGAAUGUUCUCUUUUUCCCAGCAGCAAGUCAAGAAUCCAGGCGAGCACUCAUAGUCUCUGCUCUCCUCCCCUUCCCAUCUCUCUCCUUUUUCCACUUGGUUUCUCAGUGUCUUAGCUUAUAUACUUCAGCCCAUUACCUUUAUCAGCCUACUAUUCCUCUCUGUUGGAUUUUCCCCACUAGAAUUGUAAUUUUUUUUUUAAAAGAAACACCUCUUAAGCCUUAAAUCUACAAUCUACCUAUAGUUUCUUGUGUUUCCUUUACAGCAAAACCUCUUGAAGAGACAAUGUUUUCUAUUUAUGCCAUUUUCCCCCUCAACUCAUUCCAAUAAGACAACCUCCCCAGUCCUUUAAAACUGGUCUUGUCAAGGAAAACAAUGACUUUUUUGUAGCCAAAUUUGAUGGUGGCUCCCUUCUCUGUUACAUUCGAUUCGGGAAGAAAACUGCUUUUACAUUCAUACACUCUCUUUGUUUUCCUACCACCUCAGUGCCCACACCUUCUCUGGUUCCCAUUAGCUCUCUCUCUGCCUUUCAGUGCUGUUCAGUAGUGUGGAAUAUUUUGCUGCUCAGUUCUGUGGAAGCUUCUCUUCUUCAUCUGCAUUCAAUCUCCAAUAAAUAUCAAUCAUGUCUUUACAUGCUGAUAAGUCCCACUUUUAUAGCUCUCGACCUUCACUGCCCUGCAAAUCUCUGAACUCAUAUAUCCAAUUGAAGACUUGGCAUGUGCUCUUGGCACAUCAAACUUUCAAUGUCCCAAACAUUUUUAUUAGUGUUUUUUUUUUCUCCUCCCCACACAUCUGUUCUUUUCCUACCCUUGUAGAUCCCUUAAUUUAUCUAGUUAGCAUAGGGCAGGCAGGUCUCUGUAAAAUUCUAAAUUCCUUUCUUUGUCACACUCCCCACCUCUAAUCCACCAGGGAGUACUGUUAAGUGUUCUUUCCUUCUGAAUCUUCUCAAGGAAUUUAUAUAGGAGUAAUGUGUUCCUCCAUAAAUGUUUGAUAGACUUUACCAUUGCAAGUAUUUGAACCUGGAUUAUGCUUUGUGGAAAGUUUUUGAUAAUUUUCAUUUAUGAUGGCAAUUUAGAUUUUUUUGUUUUAUUUCUUAUCAUUCUUGGCAAGUGGUUUUCAAUAAAUUUUUCCAUUUUAUUUAAGUUGUCAAAUUUGUCGGCAUAAGAUUGUGCAUAAUAUUUCUUUAUUGCCUAUUUAGAGUCUGGAGCAUCUGUAAUCAGUCUCUUUCAUUUUUUAUUUGGUCAUCUAUGUUCUCUUUCCCUUUUUAGUGGUUCAGUCUAGCUGAACAUAUCAAUACAGUUUCUUCAACUUCUUCAAAGAACUAUAGCUUUAGCCUAAUUAAAUUUAUUUUUUAUUUAUUCUUUCUUGUCUAUGUUGGGACCCUUUAUGAACUUGCUUUUUAAUUAACCCUGCUCUUCUUCUUCUUCUGGCUUCUUAAAGUGGAAACCAAAAAAAAAAAAAAUAAAUAAAUCUAAUCAUUGAUUUUUAGAGCUUCUGAAAACUUUUCAUUUGCAUUCUGAAAAAAAAUGAAGAAUCCCAAAAUGUUUUAUUUUGUGGGUUUGGUCUGUAUCUAUGAUUACAUGCUUUAAUAAAAAAUUAAAACAAAUUUUAUAAAUAUUUAUUAACUAUUGAAAAAUAACAACAAUAAAUCUAUCACAUUAACAGAAUGAUAUUUUAUGUAAAAUAACUCCAUUUUUAAUAAAAAUAUUAGUCGGAAAUAACAUUGCUUUACAUUUCUGCAUCUCUCUCUGUGUUGCCUGACUUUAUAAAAGACACCUGGAUUUCCAUUUCUGCUUUCUCAGUUUAGUCAGUUGAAAUAUAGUUUGACUGGGAUACAUAAAUAAAAAUAAACCAUAUGCUAAUAUGUGAUUGGAAAAUAAAGGACAGAUUUUUAAAAAAUAUAUUUAUUUUUUUUAGUUAUAGGUGGACUCAAUGCCUUUAUUUUAUUUUUAUGUGGUGCUGAGGAUCAAACUCAGUGCCUCAUGGAUGCUAGGCGAGCGCUCUACCACUGAGCCACAGACCCAACCCCAGAGGACAGAUUUUGAUAACUACUUUAGAUAGUGGAUAGACUGUGGAAAUUCUUCUUUGAUACUACACCAAAGCUCAAUAAGUGGUAGUUUUUUUAACGAUUAAUUGUGAUGUAGAAUCUGAAACUAUAUCUUUGAAAUUUUGAUACAGUUUAUAUUAAAAUCUAUUGGUCUACAUUGAACUUUAGCUAUAUUAUCUUUUCCUUGCUUCUUUAUUUUUUUUUUUUUGUAUUUUAGUAACCACAUGCAUUGGCCAUUUGGAAGCUAUCAGUUCACUGAGUCACAAAGAUCUUUCAAAGAAUGACACAUUUCAUUAUAUAACAUUCAAAAACCACAUUUCUUGGUAUGACCAAUACCAAGAUACUUAUCAUCAGAAAAGUCCUUAAAUAUUUGACACUUGAAAUUCAUCAAGUUCAUGGUGGCAGAUAGAGAUUUUCCAAAAUUCUAAAUUUUCUUAUGAAAGCUCAAAUUAUUUAUUACUAGCAACAAAAGCUAUCAUUUUUUUCUUUGAAGCGACAGUUUCAUUUCAUUCAUUUUUUAAAAGUGUCUUCCCAAAUCUUCCAAAUCCAAGUAGUGGUUCUUUGUUGAUCAGUCAUUAUUUCAAUGAUCCUAUGGAAACUUGGCUAGUUUGUCUCACAACUCUAGCACACAGCUUUUCUUGAAGACUGCGAUUACACCCUGGUACACAGCCAAUUGCACUCUGGGUACUUCCACAGUGUCAUGCAGCAUUGUAUGGAGGAGCACACAACAGGGUUUAGAUUUAAUAAAGUUAACAUUUCUACUACCUUAUUGAUGAUAUUCUUUAUUUAGGGGGUGGUGGUACUGGGGGUUGAACUCAGGGACACUUGACCACUGAGCCACAUUCCCAGACCUAUUUUGUAUUUUAUUUAGAGACAUGGUCUCACUGAGUUGCUUAGUGCCUCACUUUUGCUGAGGUUGGCUUUGAACUUCUGAUCCUCCUGAGUUACCCUCUCAAGCCUCUAGGAUUACAGUGUGCACCACUGUGCCAAGCUCAAUGACAUUCUUGAGUGAAAGUGGCACUUCUUUCCUUAGUAUACUGUGGUACAAAAUUCAGUGAUUACAACUGCAGUUCAUUGUCUCUGCUUUCACUCAUGCUAAAGCUCCAGCAGUUCUACCCCUUUUUGCUUUUUCACCAUCAGUACAAAUGCCAAUGGUGUGGGGGGGAAAGGCAAAUGAUACCUUAGUUUUAUUAUGAAAAAGGCUUCCUCAAAGUGUCUUGGGUGAUUCCCAGAUUUCUAAAGACGAUAGUUUUAGAAUUCUUGGCCUGAAUCAAUGAGAAUAGGUGUACAUGUAUACACAUUUAAUAAUGCUUUUUCUACUAAAAUGUAUUCUUUAAUAAAUGGUAUGUUAUUUUAUUUAUUGGCAUAAAAAAACAUCUUUCAGACUUCAAACAGCUUUUGUGUGACUUAUUGCUUUCCUUUGAUCAAGGUCCAAUCUGAGCAAGAUUUAGGUAAUACAAGUAUCUAGAGAGAACUUAGGAAUCUUUUCUUCUGUUCUUAAUUUCUUUUGUACUUAAUUUCUUCUGUCCUGUUUAGUCCAUGUAACCUAACUCCUGUCUAUGAUUGUUUUAUAUGUGUUUUGUAUGAUAGACUCUCAAGAAUAAGUUUUUGAUUAUCUGUACUUGUUAUAAUGAUGGUGGCUGCCCUAUAUUGAGCUAUGUAUGGUUGACACUCUGUUAUGUACUAUAUAUUCAUUAAUUCAUUUUUUACUUAUAGCAAUGUUUUGAUGUGGGAAUAAUUAUCCCUAGUUGAACAGAAGAGAGCUUGAUAACUACUCAGAAAAAAAAAAAGUGUGUCAAAUGUAUGAAGUCAAUUGUCUAAAGUUCCUCCCUUUUACAAUAAUAUUAGCUGCCCUCCUACCCUGUCACCACUCAUCAAGUGGUAGAACCAACACUCAAACCCAGUUAUCUAGAAAGUCUAGUUUUGUUACUGAGGACUAAAUACACCAAUAGAACAAAUACAUCACACUUGGCUCCUUAACUCAGCUCCUCGGUUUUAGAGGUUGAUUUUCUGUCUAUUUUCAGCAGAGUGGAGUAAGUGCCAUCUACCUGCCCAAGGUCUAGAUAAUCCAGCACUCUAUCCCUUGCCUCCUGUCCCAAGUAGAAAGCAGCUUCCUUUAGUAAUUGCACCAGCUCAACUUCCAGUUUGCUUCUCUGUCAUCCCAACUAAUUAAGUACCUACUUACAUAUGCUUAAUAAAAUUAUUAAGAAUUUUUAAAGGUAUAUUUUUGGUAGCUGGAAGUCUAUGCCAAAUCGUUUUUGGUAAAUUUUCCCCUUCUAUUAGUUUAUCCACAUGUGGGCAUUUUGACACAGUGAUUGCAACUAGUAGACUUCUAAGACAAACUUAUAAAAUAUUUUUGUCUCCCAAGAACUUAAACAAAUGUGCUGGUGUUGGAAGGAAAAUUGCCAUUAAAAUUGCUUUGGUGUGUAAAGUGCCUAAGGUUUCAUAGAUGCGAAAUCCUCAAAGCAUAAAAGUAAAAAUAUGACUGAAAAUACCUGAAAACCCUUUAGUAAAAUAUUAUGUCUAUCUUCUCUUUUACUUUUACAUAUGGGAAAAGAAAAAAAAAACAUUGCAAUACAUUUUAUCUUUACUUCUUUCCUUUGAUCAAAGUCCAAGAUAGUUUCAAAAAAAAAAAAAGUCCUCUCUGCUAAAAGAGGAACAACAUUCUCAAAGAGAACAUAAAACUUGAUAUUCUAAACCUUACCAUAAACUGAAGUUUAUUUGGAAUAUGACAUGAUAAUGUGACUGACUAUUGAACUUACCAAAAACUAGUGACACACUAAUAUCCAGAAUGUUCACUGUUAGUAUUCCACUGGUUGAUGAUUGUGAAUUUAGCAUUUCAAUAAAAAUAAACUAGGUCAAUUUUCUUAUCUUUGUGAAUACUUAAGGUUGAAGUGUGUUUCCCACACAUCUUUGCUAUGAUAUUUAACUAGCUAAAAAUAUAAUUCAUUGCUGGGAAAUAAGCUAGUAAUAAGUCAAAUAAAAGCUGUUUGAAGUCUGAAAGAUGUAGUGCUUCUGAGCCCUAAGAGGAAAAGUGACAUUUUUUUAUUGCUCCAAAAAGACUUCUGAUAUCUUAAGUCUGUUUCUUAUUAUUUUCUCCCUAUUAUUUUCUUAGGCAUUUUUUUCUUACUCUUCCACACCUUCAGACACAGAUCAUUAGAGAACUUACCUGACCUACAAACAAUUGUGCAACAUUUAUAUUAGGUGUUAUUAAGGACUGAUGUGUUCCCGAAGGUUAUAACAGAACGUGUUCCAAAUAUUCUUCACUAAGAAGACUUUUAAUUUUUAACAUUUUGAAUAUAAGGAAUUGUGUUUCCUUCUUUGUGAUUGAUCACCCAACUAUUUGCCACUGGAAAUAUGGGUUUCAUUGGUCAGCCAAAAAAAUGUUUGAAAUCUGUGAAAUUUGUCUUACUGUUGUCAUCUUGUUGAAAAAUGUAAAGCCUAUAAGUGAAAUUAAUGUGAACAUAUAUUGAAGCCAAGCAUUUGAAACAAAUUUUUUUUCAGGAAUGUUAUUUUUUUUAUGACAUUAGUUGUUUAAUGAUGAAUUCGACCUUCAGUUUACAGAUUUAGAAUCUGUUUGUGAGAUCUUUCAUUCCCUGUAAGUAACCAUUUAAACUCUCUUGAGGUUGUCAGGUAGGUCCUGUGGCACAGACUUCCUUUUCUCAAAAUUCCCUUCUAUUUUGCCCAUUUAUGAUUCAACUUUUCCCUACUGUAGAAAUAAAGCAAACAUUCUCAUUCUGUGUUUCCCUUUUAACAAUUAAGCAUAGAGGCUCAAUGUGAGUUCAUCUUUGAAAGCAGAUUUGAAUAAAAAUAUACAUACAUAUACCCCUUUAUAUUUAGCCACUGACAUUUUCACUGAAUAAUGUGGCUAAAUUGAAACAUAGCCAACGUUAUUUUAAUAAUAUCUUCAUUUUUUUCUUUUUCCUGAUUUCUAGGAGAUUUUAGCUAGUUAAAUAAUUAAGGUACAGAACUUUCACUUGCUUCAGAGAAUGCAUUCAAAACUUAGUUUUGUAAGACAGGAAGAACUCUGGGAGUUUGCCAAAUAUAUAUAUAUUUCUACUUUAAACAAAAAUCAAGAAACUUUGGUUUGUGUACAGGGGAGUCAGGAGAGAGAUGGAGUUGUGAGGGUGUAAAGGACAGUAGAGUCAGACAUUAUUACGCUAUUCACAUGUAUGGUUACACUAGUGGAGUGCCUCUGAACCAUGUACAGCCAGAGGAAUGAGAAGCUGUGCUCCAUUUGUGUACUAUAUGUCAAAAUGUAUUCUACUGUAAAAUAAAUAAAUAAGUAAAUAAAUAAAUAAAUGAAGUUAACACUAAAGAAAGAAACAUGCCCAUUUCAUUUCUUUUAAAGUUACAUGGGGACUCAAGAGGUACAUAGGAAAAAGAAGAGUAGAGUUAUUUGAUCACAUAUAGAGUUCUGUGCUUAGUUUUUCACUAGCACAACUUUUUAAAAACUAAAACUAAUGGGAAUCUGGUAUUAUAUAAAUGAAAUUAGUUAUAUAUCAGGAAGAACACAGAAAAGUCAGAUAUAAUAAAUAUACCUAAAAUGCAGUGACUUCUAGAGGAAGAAAGUUUGUUUCUUUCUCAUGCAAGUUCAGAGGCAGAGGGGCAGGUAGGCAGCUCUGCCCUAAUAGGUCUUCCAGGAUCCAAGCUUUCCUUUCUCUUAUUAGCUCUACCAUUUCCUAGGAGGUUGACUUUACUGUAAGGUAGAACUAGCUCAUGAAGAAGUGUAUUCCAGACUACAUUAAGAAUUGUAAUGCAAACUGAAAUUUUGUAGGCUUUGGCCAACAUCUUUCCAACUCCCCAACUCUCCAGUCUCUGGUAUCUAGAACUCUAUUCUGUUUCUUUGGAUUCAACUCUUAGAUUCCACAUAUAAAUGAGAUCAUGUGAUUUAGCUCCUAUGUUUUAUGUCACUUAACAUAUCCUCUUGUUCAUCCAUGUUUUCACACAUGACAAGAUUUCCUUCUGUUUUCCAGGUUGAACCGUCUUCCAUUGUAUGUAUGUACUAUAUUUUCUUUAUCCAUUCCUAUUUUUAUAGGUGUUUAGGUUGAUUCCAUUUCUUAGCUAUUGUAAACUAUGCAGCAAUGAACACAGGAGUGUGUACACUAAUCUGUUGUUUUUUUUAACUGAUUUUUUUGAUAUAAUAAAUUUAAGAGAUCAAUUACACAUCAUUGUGACUAUAAUUAAUAAUAAUGUAUUUUAUUCCUGAAAAUUGCUGAGAGUAAUAAUUUAAAAAUCCCCACUUCAAAAAGUAUGUGAUGUAAUACAUACGUUAAGUCAUCAUGUUGAAAUUUAUACUAUCUUUGUCAAUUUAAAUAAAUUAGUGAGAAAAAAAAAGAAUUGUAAUGUAAAAAAAGAGCACAUGUAUAAUGGCAUAAUUUGGCGCAAACAUACUUUAUAUACACAAUUGUGCAGUAUAUGGGUAAUAAUGAGUGUAAUGAAUUCCACUAUUGUCAUGUAUUUAAAAAAAAAAUAAACAAGUAAAUAGUAUUCCAGACUAUAUAACUUAUGGGUAUUACCUGGAUGAAAGACUAGAAGAGUGAAAAACUGGGUUGAUAUGUUAUAAAAGUGUUGGGAGCUGAUGUAUGGGUAAACAGGGGAUUAUGUAUAUAAAGGGGUAUAUAGAUAUCAAAAAUACUUAUGGAUAUGAAGGGGUAUGGAUAAAAUUAAAAUUAAAGUGAUAAAUUUGGGACCUUUUUAGGAAAAAGUUUUAAAGCAAAACUCUAAAAAUAAUGAGUUAUUCCUAAAUCAUGGGCAGGGAAGACAUUUUAACCUGUUAUGUUUAAGAUCAACUCAAGAUGGGAUGAGAUGGAAAACUGAAAAAUCUAGAGAGGAAAAUAAACCCAUUCAUAUAAUAGUUUUAUAUAUCAAAAGUUGAUGACUCUAUAUCAAGACUGUAUGAUAGCAUGAGGGUAGGUACCAUUCUCUAAUCAAUGGGCACUCUAACCAAUGCAAUGCCACAGAGAAGGAAAGAGCCAAGUGACUGUGGAGGCACUUUCCCUCAUCUCUUACUGUUCAACUUCUGUUAUCCCCUAAGGAUCUUCCAGAAAAGCCAAGGAAGAAAACUCUCAAAUCCCCAUAAGAUUGGAUUGACAAUGAUCCUCUAAAGCAGGACUAACCAGACAUUUUAUGGGAAGAGUCCGAUAGUGACUAUUUUAGGAUUUGUGUUCUAUGUAGUAUCUGAUAUACUCAAUUCUGAUAUUGUAAGGGCAAAAGUUAUCAUGGUCAAUACACAAAGAAAUGAAUGUAAUUGUGUUCCAAUAAAACUUCAUUUAUAAAUAACAGGUACAGUGCAGGAUUAGGCCUCAGGCCAUAUUUUAUUGGCAUCUGUUCUAAAACAAUGAAAUGGAAAGAAUUAAGUAAAUUAGGCAAAGUUACUUUGAACUUUAAAUUUAUGAGAGUUUACAAAUAAAUUUUACCCUACUGGAUAUAAAGUAACUGAAAGUUAUUAUUAUCCACCAAGGUAUUUUUUGAAAAACUAAAAAUUCAUUUUUAUACAGUAUACAUUUUAAAUAAUAUGAAAUAAAUAUUACAUUAGAAAAACAUUCCCUGAGUAACAAUACUUGAGAAGCAAUUCUUUUAAUUAAGAUGCACUGCCACAUAUUUUUCUCAAGUAAUCAAGGCUAUCAGCAUUCACACCCUUACCUACUUGGACAGUAAUGGUUGAGUGAUUAAUAGCAAUUAUCUCAAGACCUCACUCUAGGCCAAAAAGAGUAAAGAUUUUCUUCAUUGUAAAAGGCCUUGUCCUUGGUGUGUUAGUUUUUCUUAUUCUUUUUUUUUAAUUCACACAUGCCUUUAUUAAUAUCAUAUUUAGCACUCUUUUCAGAAAUUUAAAAGGUAAAGUACAUGAAAAAAAAAACCAGAAUGUUAAUGUGAAGAUACAGCAAUGUAAAAAAAAGAGUUUUCUGUUGAUAAUUUUGCAAUUAGAACAUAAGUAAUUUUAUUAUUUAAAGUUUUAUUUUGGAAAUAAAAAUAAAAUUUUACAGAUAAUUUAUUUAUUUGGUAAAAGUAAAAAAGAUAAAAGUAGAAUAUUUCCCCCUAAGGCAAAUUCCAUUUUCUCUGGCACAUGUGUGGAGAAAUUAGAAAUUUCAUUUCACAAUGACAUUACUCAUUUCUUACAUACUUAUCCUGAUUUUUCUUUAUGCCAAUGAAUGUAAAUAUGUAUAUGUUUCUCACUAUGUUUACUAUUCAUUCAUCUUUUAAAAAUGAGAUGUCCCUGAUAUUUUUUAAAAAAUCGUAUUUUCAGGCAAUCACGACUAUCGUCAUAUGUACUAUUUACUAGUUGCCCAUUUUGAGCAUUAGGAAUUUGUUUUAUACUUUUCUAUGUUCUUUACCCAACUUCUUUUCUCUCCUUUUUUCUCCCCCUGCCUAACUUCCUAAAUGGUGCUUUUCCUUAAUGUUUAUUGUUGUAUUCUUAACUUUGCUUACUUUUCUUGACACUCCUGGGCAGAAUAGCACUUUGGGUCAAAUUUGCUGCUUCUAAUCAGAGGCUACAUGGUAAGUAACUGUCUGUCCUAGUGCUAUUAUUUAUCAACAGUUAAGAACUCAAUUUGGAGUUCUUUAAAAAUUUGAGCAGUGCUCUGUGAUGAUAAUGGCCGGUACUGGAGGAUAUUUACAGUUUAUAAAAUAGUUUUUCUAAAUUAUUUUGGAUUUCUCAAUACCAUUGAGGUAGAUAGGGAAAAUGAGAAGACUUUUUUUUUUUUUUUUUGGUGCACUGGUGGUUAACUACUGAGCCACAUCCCACCCCUGUUUUUUUAAUGUUUUAUUUUCAGAUAGGGCCUUGCUAACUUGCUUGAGGCUGGCUCUGAACUGGGCAAUCCUCCUGCCUCAGCCUCCUGAGCUGCUGAUAUUAGAGGCGUGUGCCACUAUGACCAGUGAGCUUCUUGUUUUUUUUUUUUUUUAAAGAAGAUAAUAAAAUCUAAAACGUGAAGGAAACUGCAGUCCACAAUUGUUAAGAAAGAGCUGAAACAAAGAAAAGAUCCUGUUUUCUGAGUCCGCCUAUCUAGUCCACUUCUCUGUUUCAGGCUUGUCAGUUUUUCCACUCUAAUAUCUCCAGAGUCCAUGACCUCUUUCUACUUCCUAUUGAGAACUUUGAGAUGAACUUUCUAACAGUUACUGGAGAAAGAAUUAUGAUAACAACUCAGCAAAUCAAAAUAUGAAGCAGCAGCUGUAUCAAGGCUCCCAGAACAAACUUCUGACCUAUGAGCCAAGAAACUGGAGUUCUGGGCCCUCUUACUCUGCAUAUUAAUUGUGUGUGCUUGGACAAAUCAAACAACCUGUCUGGCGCUCAGCUUUCUUAUCAGCUUCAUUAAUCUAAAAAUGAAAGGUCUGAAUAGGUUCCCUUCUACACAUAGAAUUCUGGAAUAGUAGUAAAGGUGUCUAUUUCUAAAAACAAAAUAAAACACACAAAAAAAUCUUUCUGUGUUGCUUGCUCUUAAAAUUGUUGGAAUGAGUUGCAGACUGCAAUAUUGUGGCUGCCAAUUCUUUAACAGUUUGGACUGUGCAGUACUAACUUAAACCCACCUGUGGGAAUAGAGUUGGAAGCAACACACCAUCUCAGCUUGCUCUGUUUGUGUUUUCAAACCACUAAGGGAAGCUGGGUUGAAACUGGUUUUGGAAAAAUACAGAAACUAUCAACCUCUAAAGAAAGAUAACAUAUUAAUGACUUUUGAUCAUAUAACUGAUUUCCUAUUGCAUUGUUUUAGGAUUCAGUUAUGUUGGCACAAAAUAAGAAACAAUAUGGUUACAAUGUAAUCUAUGAAGAUGCCCCAACAUAGAGCACAGGUGCAUGCUAUUUGAACACAACAAGCACAGUUUAAAUUUUACAUAAUUGAUAACUUUCAAGCUGCAAUAGGCUGACAUCAGUAGGACUGCCUGGCUAAUCUGCAUUGCUGGAGUCUCUCCUGGGAGCUGUCUUGUCUCUUAUCUUCAUUUAUCACCAGGACUCUAUCUUAGCUUAAAGCUUUUCUGAAGACAAAAUGGUCAGUCUCACAAUUAACAUCCGCUCCAUGCCUCUCUUUCCUCUUUCUUCUUCUUUUAGUUUCUGAUCAUUAAACACAUGAGUAUAAAGAAGGAUACAAACUUGUCAACAGUAACCAGCACAGUUGCCCAUACAUAUCUCUUUAGGUCUACCAAACAGCCUUGUGGUCAGCACCUGUUUUACUGUUCUGUAGAUAGAAGGUCAUCCGGUUAAGAGGCUAGAUGCUGAACUGCUACUUCUCUAAUUCCAGAAAGUAGCUUCCCAUCCAAACACAUAAUUAAAGAGGGUAGCAGCAUGUAUUCCAGUAUGAUGAUGUAAUAUUUUGAGAAGAGUCUGUUGGUAAAAAUCAGUAGCACACCCACAUAGUAAUGAGCGUAUUUGACUACCACAAGGUUAUUUUUCUUACUCUAUGAACAUUUAAAGUCCAGUUUAUUGUUUUUAUAAAUACAAAUCCAAGAUUCAUCCAUCUCAAAAUUAAUAUCACAUAAUCUGAUGAAUACAAUGCUUUAAGGGAUGCCUGAGUACUCAUAUUUGUUGUAACAGACGACUAAACCAGUUAGGGUCACUCCAGGUGAAUUGGGUUGACACAAAAUAAUGACAGGCAGAGAAAUACCUUUUUCUUUGGGUUCUGUGACGGUUCUUCUGACCCAGCUGCCACAAAGGAGGCAAAGCAAGCAAGAAAGAGAAAGAGCACGCCUCAAACCUGGUUAUAUUGGGGAGCAGCCAUUCAAAUGAGGCAAGGGGUCAGCGGGUUGAGUCUAGCUUCAUGUUGUCCUGCUGUCAGCAGGUUGACUGACAUCUUGGAAGGACAUGACCAUCUCAUGUGCUUUGUGAUGACCAAAGGCAGGGCAAGCGAAAAGGACACAUAUGUGCACAGCCCAAUCAGAGAUUCAUAGUCAGUCAGUCGGCUUUGUAUGCUCAAAAUGCUCACAGAUCACACACACACAGAUGCGGCUGGCUUGCCACAUCUCCACAUUCCCAUCGCUCAAAGCUAGGGGGCGCUCAGCUUCUAUGUGGCAGCUCCCAACACAUGUUGUCAGUUUCUAUGGUGUGAAGAGCUUGCCAAUGACCUUUUCCAAAUUAUCAAUCCUCCCUUUGCUUUAGCAUUCUGGGAUUGCAAUCUAUUAAAUACAAUACAUACCUUCUACUCAAAGGGAAUCAUAAUUUUAAUUCUUUAAUGAAUUGUAAGCCUAUUAAAAAUUCUCUAUAAAUAUGUAAUAUAUUCCCACUAAUUUGCCUGUUAUAAUUUGUUGACUCUAGUAGUUAUUUUUCUCCACAUUGAAAUCAUAAAACUUUAGAAAUAGUUUUAGAAAUGUCUUAACUAUCCCCACUGCCACAUACUUUUCUUCUUAAAGUCUAUUGACAUUGCCAACCAGAAACUGGCAGGAAUUUUUUGCUUUCUUUGUAUCUUAACAGGGAACACGUUUUAAUACCUAAGCAUAAUUUCAUUGAUUAUGGAAACGAAAAACCAUUUUUUACUGAGGAACUUUUCAAAAGUGAUUACUGAUGCACAGAUGAAGCAUUGCUCAUCUCACUUACUUCUACCUCCAAUGUCGUGUUUGUUACUCAAAAUAUAUUGCAUAAAUAGGGAAAAUGGAAAUAUUGCUCCUUGCACACACUUCCCUAAUUGCAAGGCACUUUACUAUUACUAAGAAACUCUGUUUACAAUUAUGAUUCUAAAGGAAAGAAAAUCCAGGAGCAGAUGAGUAACAGUUUAGGUCUAAUUGGAAACUUUUGUGUAUGUUACAUUUUAAGAAAUUCCAAAAGAUUUUUCUGCCCUAAUCCUUCUUGGUAAUCCUGAGGUAAUCCUUGGGAGAACCAAAAGAAGACAAGAAUGUGAUGUGCUGAUCUUUCAUGCCAUCUGUAGCUGUAAACAUCACUGGCCCUCUGAGAAUAUAACUGGCAAGAGGAUUUUGAAUCAUACCACCUCCUUCCCCAUCUGCAGUGCUUCAAGAAGUUAACAUACUUUUUAAAAACCUCGGGAGAAUGGAGACUAUCUAAACUUGUUUUUCUAGACUUUUCUACACAUCUAUCAGGAUGAAUUCCUGGACAACGAGUCAUUCCUGAAAUGAAUAGAACUUGUCCUUUGCUGACAGAAGCUGAAGGACAGGCUUUCAAACCGCUUCUCUGAGUCUAGAUAGAGAAGUUGUAGUGGAUGAUUAAUAAAAUUUAUAAUUCACAUGAUUCUGCUGAAAUCUCUUUGAAAACAGUAAAAAAUGUACUCAGAUCAUUUCUGCAUGAAAAUUAGCUCAGACACUUCAUUGAAAUGAAAAGGGUGAUUAGAAAAGGAAGUGAGGAGAAAGAAUGCCAUGGUUGAGAUACUGUAUCAGAGAGACCAAAUUCCCCAGGGACUAUCUUGAUGUUCUAUUUUAUAUUGUCUGUAUAAGCACAGCCUCAUAAAAUUAUUCUUUCUUCUCUUUCCUUAUUCCAGAAAGAAACUCCUAUUUUUCUAUAGCUACAUUUCUCAGUGUAGCAAUCUGAAAAUUCAUUUUGCAUUAAUUUAUUUGAUGUAUUACUUAGAUGUCAUUUAUCUGAAUUUUUAUUUUGGUAAAUGUGAAAAAAAAAUAUUAAGAUUCAAAGACAAUGAAUGUGGGUGGCAGAUAUCUCUUCAACCUUUGAUCAGUUUAUGCCCAAAUGUGAUAUUGCUGGGUUAUAUGGUAGUUCUAUUUUUAGUGUUUUUCAGAACCUCCAUAUGUUUUUUUUAUAAUGGAUAUACUAAUCUAGCUUUCUUCAAACAGGUUGCAAGGGUUCCCUUUUUCUUCACUUCCUCAAUAACAAAAUAAUAAACAUAUGGAAGUAACCUAUCAACAGAUAAAUGGAUGAAGAAAAUUUGACACAUACACACACACACUCACACACACAAAUUCAAUGGAACAUUAUUUGACCUUGAUAAAGAAGGAAAUUCUGUCAUUUUCAAUAACAUGAAUAAACCUAGAUGGUGAUGUACUAAGUGAAAUAAGGGAGGCAUAGAAAGAUAAAUAUGACACAAUCUCACUUAUAUGUGGAAUCUGAAAAAAUGAAACCCACAGAAACAGAGACAAGAAUGGCGAUUACUAGAGGCUGGGGGAGGGAGGGAUGGGCAAAGGGAAGAUACUGAUCAAGGGGUACAAGGUUUUAGCUAGACAGGAGAAUUAAGCUUUAGAGACCUAUUGCACAGAAUGAUGACUAUAAAUAUUAAUAAUACAUCUACAUAUUUCAAAAAUGCUUAUUGAUUUAGAUUUUAAAUGCUCUCACCACAAAAAAAUGGAUAUGUAUGUAAAGUGAUAGACAUGUGAUGUAGUUUGAUUUAAUCAUGAUAUAACCAUAUAUGGAAACAUUAUAUUGUGUCACACAAAUAUAUAUGAUAGUUAGCAAUUAAAAAUAAAAUGCAAUUUGAAUUCAAAAAUAAAGUUAAAUAUGAUGCAAAGACAGGUAAAAUGGAAGGGGCUGCUUUUCAACAUUGAACCAUCUUCUAAAACAAGGAACUUCAUAAAACAUUCCUUUUAUUGCCUUCAUCUGGCAUGUUUCUUUUCAUUAAGAUUAAAGUUUUGACAGAGAUGAAAGAUCUCCUGCUUUACACAGAGAUAUAUGUUAACCAGGAAGAACUUCUUAAGUAGAAACAUCCAUGCAAUAACCUUUUUUUUUAUUUUCAUCUCUUUAUCUAAUAAAUUUUCUAAGAUACCUUAAAAAUGGAAGAGAGAACUUUUUAUUUUGUAGACAGUUCAGAUUAUGGAUGCAUUUAACUAAGCAGAUCUAAAAAUACAGAAAACAUUUUUUUAAUUCACACUUUUUAUGUCAUAUAGAAAAAAUACUGAGAUAACUGAGAGAGACUCCAUUUGAAUUAAGAUAUUUGGUGCCAUGUUGAAAUAAUUGGCACAUACUUUGUAGUUUAUACUACUGGGUAUAAAGGUAAAAUUAAAAGCCGCUUUCAAAGUCCCAAAGACCUUCUUGCACCACAGGGUAAAAGCCAUGCAGAUAUUUUCAACUUGGAUUUACAUGGAAAAUACAUUUUCAUUUAUUUUGGGUCUGUGGAUAGUUCUGUCUCAUAUAAGUUAGAAUGUUUUACAAGUUGCCAACGCAUAUUUCUUCUUGGGCUCUGAGUAAGGAGCAUUCCCUAAAGAAAAUAAAAAUCCUGGGCUAUAGAUCCCAUUGGCUCGUGGUCCAAUGUUCUCCAUGAUGAGAAAUUAACUACAACAAUUAAUAUUUGUUUGGGCCAUUUGGCUCAAGCAGAUGUACCAUCCAUCCAUUGUGGAGUGGUGAAGAGUGAGGAUAUCAAGAAAUUUUGAUCUUAGGAAAACUGUCUGAAAGAUAAUAUAAAGAUGCACACAGUUAGAAUGAUAAGGACCAUAAUAAGGAAUCAAAACAAAGAGAACAAUAGCAAACAGUGAAAAGAAAAUAUAAUAGGCUUAUCCAGGGGAAAACCAAAAAAACCUAACAGAAAUUCUAGAAAUGUUCCAUAUCUUCCCAGAAUUCUCUUAAUACUGGAAGCCACCAAGGCUUAGCAAUGAAUUCUCUUCUUUGUUUAUACAUGCUUCUAAUGGCCUCUCGUUUGUAAACUAUAGAAUCCAUCAACACCUACAUAUACAUAUCUGAAUCACAUAUGAAAUAUAAUGUGUUCGUAACUGAAGAGGUCUCACCCUCAAAUCUGCUUCACCUGCAGCCAUUUCCUCCUCAGUUAAGGGCUCCACUCUUUCUUUCUUUCAUCACACCUACAUCACCUAUUGUUAAAUCCAGUGGGCUCUACUCUGGCGAUAGAUCUAGAAUCACUCCAGUCCUCACCACCUCUGUUGCACUUAACCUGUUCUGAGCACCCCUUGUCAUGUCUCCCUAAGAAUAUAAUAGAUUAUUGUCUCUUGGCUUCCACCCUGAAGUCCUGUAAUCUGUAUCCAAUGCUGCAAUCUGAAGUAAGUAAGAGCUAGUCAUUCUCUCAGAAUCUUGCCAUACCUUCCAAGUUCACUCGGAGUAAAAGCCAGCUUUUUUCAAGUAUCCCUCAAGGUUCUCCUCAUUUUGACCCACUGCUCUCUAAGCUCAUCUCACAGCAGUCUCUCCUUGCUCCCUCCACUCCAACUACGCUGCCGCCGCCUCUCUUCCUUACACUCUGGCUAUUUGUACCUGCUGUUCCUUUUAUCUGAAAUUUCCUCCUCCAGGUCUUCUCAUGAUCUUCUUUCUUUGCUAUUUCAGAUCUUAGAUGACUCAUCAACCCCUCAUCAAACACCUUCCUGUCCCAGAAUUUGCCAUUUAAAUCUGAAAAUUCUUCCCAACAGUCAGGAUUCCCUGUGUAGCAUUUGCUUUUCAGAAGUUAUUCCAUCUCAUAUAAUAUACUUUACUGAUUUGUUUGAUGUCUUCUUAAAUAAAAUAUAAGCCCCAGUGUUAAGUUUUGUUGUCUGCUAACAAGAUUUCUUUAAUACCCUUGAUGAGCUUUCCUCCAUCUAUCUUCAGGAAAUGGUUUUCUUGUGAGGAGAAAGAACACAAUACUUUUUUAAAAUAAUAUUUCUUAUGCAGAAUUUCACUGUGAAAAAAUAUUUUAAAAGAGUAUUCAGUUAGAUAAGGGAUGAUGAAGAAAACAACAAAUUAAAAAUGGUUUAAUAUUUUAAACUAGGGAAUUUGGACAGAGAGGUUUAUAGAUGAUUCUGGGAACAUUGGGAAAUGUUGUCACCUUAAGUUAGAAGAUGACUAAUUUGUUUUUUAUUUUGGCAAGUUGUCCCCUAGUUAUUUUUUUUAAUGUUUUGUAAACAGUUUGGUCUGAGAGAUAUAGUUUGGUGUUGGAUCAAAACUUUUCCCAUUUGAUUAUUCUCGGAAUUAUUAUAAAAAUUUAUCAAGUGUAGGGUAGGGUUUUUGAAAUAUUUUACAUUUUAUAAAAACAUUUAAACACUAAGGACCUUAGGAAAAAUGAGACUCUUCUACUUUUCAAACUUGACAAUGCAAAUUUCCAUUAUUAUAACAUGCUUUUGUCAUAUGACAAUGUAAUAAAAAUCACGUAGUUUUUUUUAGUUGAAGUAUCAUUUAUUCUCAAUUUUUAUAAAAAGUUAAAGAAACAAAGGCCUUUAUUUAAGAGGGGGAAUUUUCAGGAUGGACAUUUAAAAUUUAAAGCCUUGAUUAUUCUUCUGUUAAUCUUUUUCAUUUCAAAAUGUGGCCUUUGAUUUUAUGCCAAAGCUCCUAUUUUUGCUUUAGUACGAAGUUGCCUGAUGGAUGAUGAUAUUGUCCAUACUCUGGCUUGUGAUUCUUCUCAACAUUGUCCUGGUGUACAAAUAAUUUUACAUAGGGUAUUUUGUUUCUUAUCACUGCCCCAUGGGAACUUCAUCUGGCAACCUUCUAAUAGUGAUUAUAAUAUUCUGCUAGAGUUGAAUCAGGACACAAGCUGUGAAGUAUUCUAUUUAAAAAUCCAUUUCUGGGGCAUUAGCCGAAGGUUUAUGAGAGUAUUGUAAUAUUGUUUAAUGAAAGUGGGCUUUUCUUAAUUCUUUAGCUGUGUGAAUAAAUAGAAUUUGACUAGAUUUCAAUAAGUAGUUUAAGAUUCACCAUUAUGUUAAUAUUUGAACAAAUUACCAAUAUUCAAUACCAGAAAAAUUCAGAUGCUGAUUUUUAAAAGUGAGUUAGAGAUAUAUACUUACAUUUUUUGUCUUUAUUGGGUAAAAAUUUAUGCUCUGAUGGUUAAUAGGAGUUCUAACUUCUUUUCUUCCUUUCCUUAUUAAUUUCUGGUUUGGACCCAUCUUUCUAUCUUCUAAAUAUUGAACUGGCUCAAAGCUCAGAAUUGGCUUGUUCUCUUCUCAGGUUAUUCUGACUUCCCUGAGCUCAUCUCUAAUCUCAUCUAUGUGCUGAUGAUACUAAAACUUUUAUCUCCAGUCUAGAACUUGCUCCUGACUUCAGAGCAAUAUAUUUAGUCCCUUCUAUGCAAUCUCUCUGCAAUGGAUUUAAUAUCAUUGUACAACCCAGAUUCAUAAAUUGAGGUCCUAACCUUCAAUGUAAUAGUAUUAAGAACUGGGGCCUUUGCCGGGCUCUCCCCUCAAAAAUUUGAUUCAUGUCCUCAUAAAAGAAACACCACAUGAGGAUGGAAGAGAUAAGAGUCUAUAAUCUGGAAGAAAGUGCUCACCAGAACUGGGCCGAGCUGGCACCCUUAUUUCAGACUUCUAGGCUCCAGAAUGGGAAGAAGUAAAUUGUUGUUGUUGAGAAACAAAAUCCAUUUUAUUAUAGCAAUCAGAUUUAAAACACUCUCCUUAAGAUAUUUCUUAGAUUAAUCUUAUACCUAAUUAUUGUAAUUUCCAAAUGACUGUAAAUGGUACUAUACAAAUUUUGUUGACCAUGUAUACAUUGCUAGUAUAUAGAAAUACAAAGAUUUUGUACAUUUAUCUUGUAUCCUGAAACCUUGCUGAAUUCAGUUAUUAAUUCUAAGAAGAUGCUUAUGUUUUUUUUUUCAUUUGUCUUCCAAAAGUUCAUGAAUUGCCAAACUUAUAUGUUAUAUGGAUUUGAAAGUAAGAGAACUGGAAACUAACAACAAUUAGAUGAGAUGGUUACCUUAGUGUCUGCUUUACUCAGCUUUUCAUUGUAAUGACCAAAAUACAUAACAAGAACAAUUUUAAGGGAAGAAAAGUUUAUUUUGGCUAACAGUUUCAGAGGCUCAGACCUUGGUUGUCUGAUUCCAUAGCUCUGGGCCCACAGUGAGACAGAACAUCAUGGCAGAAGAGUGUGGCAGAGGGAGCAGCUCAAGGUAUGACAUCCAGAAAGCAGAGAGAAAGCUCUGCUUCCCAGGGACAAAAUUUAAAUCCCAAAGGCAUUCUCCCAGUGACCUUAUUCUUCCAGCAACACCCUACUUGCUUUUGAAUACCACCCAGUUAAUCCAUAGUAGUGGAUUAAUACUCUGAGUAGUCACAUCUCUAAUAAACUAAUAAUUUCACCUCUGAAAAUUCUUUCCUUGUCUCACACAGGAGCUUUUAGGGGACACCUCAUGUCUGAGCCAUAACAGUAUCUUAAUAAGAAGAGGAAGAGAGACCUGAGUUAGCAUGCUUAACCUGUCUCACCAUGUGAUACUGCCUGCCAUAUGAUAAUGCCACAAAAAUGUCCUCCACAGAUGCCAAGAAGAUGCUUGCUAGUGCCAUGCUGUUGAACUCCCAGCCUCCAGA